GAUGAAGAACGUAGCGAAAUGCGGUAAGUAAUGUGAAUUGCAGAAUUCAGUGAAUCAUCGAAUCUUUGAACGCACAUUGCGCCCCUUGGUAUUCCGAGGGGCAUGCCUGUUCGAGCGUCAUUAUAACCCCUCAAGCUCAGCUUGGUGUUGGGGCCUGCUGCACUGGCAGCCCUUAAAAUCAGUGGCGGCGCCAUCUGGCUCUAAGCGUAGUAAUUCUUCUCGCUAUGGAGUCCUGGUGGAUGCUUGCCAUCAACCCCCAAUUUUUCUAUGGUUGACCUCGGAUCAGGUAGGGAUACCCGCUGAACUUAAGCAUAUCAAUAAGCGGAGGA
rnacentral:misc_RNA from 1 species